GCUGACUCACUGGGUGAACCUUGAGUAGCUCCACCACCUAUCCAAAGCUCAAAGCGCUCAUCACUGGAGCUACGAAUCCCUGCCUCCCUCCCAGGUAGUACCUUCUAGAAGAGAAUCCAAAGGUGGACUUCUAAGUGCUGAGAAGCCCAGGUGGCAGCCUGUGGGGCAGUCUAAACCCUGGCACUGAGGACAUUAGAGGAAAAGGCACGGAGGCCAGAGGUGGGAUGUCUUGUUCAGGACACAGUAUAUUGAGAAUCAUUGGAGAAAGUCAUGAAAUUGAGAUGAUUUAACCCAUAAAAAAUUCCUGUGGAUUAAGAGCCUCAGCCUCCUCAUCUGUGAAAUUUGUAUAAUACCCACAAAACAAACUUCAGAGUGUCCUUUCGAGGAAAAUACUUUGCAAACCUUAAAUAAAUGUGAGUUACCAUUAUCAUUAUU